rnacentral:rRNA from 1 species
GAAUUCGAUUAGGCCUAACACAAGCAAGUCGAGCGGGGUUUUCGGACCUAGCAGAAAACGGGUGAGUAAUGCGUAGGAAGCUACCCGAUAGAGGGGGAUACCAGUUGGAAACGACUGUUAAUACCGCAUAAUGUCUACGGACCAAAGUGUGGGACCUUCGGGCCACAUGCUAUCGGAUGCGCCUACGUGGGAUUAGCUAGUUGGUGAGGUAAUGGCUCACCAAGGCGACGAUCUCUAGCUGGUUUGAGAGGAUGAUCAGCCACACUGGAUUUGAGGCACGGUCCAGACUCCUACGGGAGGCAGCAGUGGGGAAUAUUGGACAAUGGGCGCAAGCCUGAU